UGUAAUUCAAAUAAUAUUUUAAACAUUAAUACUACAACCCAAGAAAAUCUUGAAAGACUGUAAGUACUUGUAGCAACUUAAGUAGAUUCUAGUCACUGUUCGAAAUAAGUAGGCAGCAUUUACUUAAUUCAUUAUAUUUAACGAAUAAGUACUACUAUGUAAUAUUUGCUAGAGAAACUGAAAAAUAUGCUGGUUACAAGUCGGUUGCUUACUUAAUCAAAUAGUCCUAUGUGCUAGUAAGAGAAUGAAUGAAUUAACUAAUUAAUACAAUAAAAUACUAGUUAGUAUUACUAAUUAGUUUUUAGAAUUAAAUGUUUAGCCAGCUUGCCAUAUCUUGAGCGUGUGUGUGUGAAGGUGGGAGAGGCUGUUGCGCGCGCGUGUCCUCGUCUAUUUUUCCUGUGGGAAUUAAUGCCAUUUCACGUGGGUAUUAUUAGAGGUGGCCGUUACUAAACUUAGCUUCAUUCUCUAAGUUAUUCAUUCUCUAAGUUUGUCCAUGAGUGGACAAAAAAGAAAUGGCAACAAAUAACCAGACCGAUUAGGAAAAUGCCAAAAUAAGAAGGAAAAUAGCAUUGUAAACGAUGAGACGGAGACGUCUGAGAGCGAUGACUUCCGUGGCCGGGAGCAAGAUCGUUUCCUUGCCGUGGAAAAAUAGUCAGGAAGGGGAAAAAUGUUGAGGGGUUGGUGUGGGGUAAAGAGAAAGAAAAACUCGAUCUUUGUCUACAAUCAAUGCAGCCCUCCUCCUCCCCCAUGUCGCCGCCAUCUCCCAGGCCAUAAUUUACGAUCCCUCGCUAUUUAUUUGGCUCACACCUCCCGGUAAAGCCCCGUUAAACAACUUCACACCAAAGCAUGCCGUUGAAUCAUGAUGGCAGCUCAUUUUGCAGGUGAAGUGUGGAGUGAUGGGGCCCAGGACUGCUCUCUCUCUCGCCUUGUCGUCUCCAAAGUGCCAGGCAUUUCACACAGGGUGAGAGACGUUACUGAGGUGUGUGUUAUUCUUGAUGUCGGCCUCCAGCGGGGAGCAGGAGUCAACACAGCUAGUAACAUACAGAGUGCCAUCAGCCUGUCAAUCAAGUCAGGUAAUCACCACCCCCAUUCGGUUUCAGACACGUGCUCUUACAUGCACACGCAAAUAUACAUUAAGUACUAGUUUCACACCUAUGACACCUCUUAUUCAGGUGCUAUUUUAGUCCUAGUUAACACAGCUAGUAACAUACAGAGUGCCAUCAGCCUGUCAAUCAAGUCAGGUAAUCACACCCCCAUUGGUUUCAGACACGUGCUCUUACAUGCACACGCAAAUAUACAUUAAGUACUAGUUUCACACCUAUGACACCUCUUAUUCAGGUGCAUUUUAGUCCAGUGUUUUCUGAACUCUGAUUCCACCCUCGCUUCACCCUUGGUGUUCAUUCUAGAGCCCUUUAAUUCCCAACUCAUUAUAUUACAGCAUAAUCUAUGUGGAGAUAAUAACCAUUUGGGCAAUCAGUGACUGAGUAUGCCAAAAGAUACCAUACACAUUCAUGCACACUCCUUAAAACAUAAAUUAUUGUCUUUAAUGUCUCUGUGUAUCUAGUUACUAAUACAUUUAGACCACUGAUGUGAUUAUGAAUUUGUUAUUAGAAAAUCUAAAUAAUCCACUCAUUCUAUCCUUGAUUUAUCCAAAAUUUAACAGAGCACAUUCUGAACUGUAAGUGUAACCAGAAGAAAUGUUGAAUCAAAAUGAAAAUGUUGGAUACUCUAAAGUUUUGGGUCAGUAAGAUUUAAAAAAUAAUUUUUUGACUCUUAAACUCACCCAACUUGCAUUUUUUUAACUAUCUAACAUACAGGUAAAAACAGUAUUAUUGUGGAAAAUUAUUACAAAAAAAAAAAAACAUUUUCUAUUUUAUUAUAUUUUACAAUGUAAUUUAUUUAUUAUUAAUUUAUUAUUAAUGUAAAAUAUUUUAGUGGAAACCAUAUACGGUUUUGCUCAAAAUUAUUCAUACCCUUGGUAAAUA
rnacentral:lncRNA from 1 species